GACGAACGCUGGCGGCGUGCUUAACACAUGCAAGUCGAACGGAAAGGCCCUGCUUUUGUGGGGUGCUCGAGUGGCGAACGGGUGAGUAACACGUGAGUAACCUGCCCUUGACUUUGGGAUAACUUCAGGAAACUGGGGCUAAUACCGGAUAGGAGCUCCUGCUGCAUGGUGGGGGUUGGAAAGUUUCGGCGGUUGGGGAUGGACUCGCGGCUUAUCAGCUUGUUGGUGGGGUAGUGGCUUACCAAGGCUUUGACGGGUAGCCGGCCUGAGAGGGUGACCGGCCACAUUGGGACUGAGAUACGGCCCAGACUCCUACGGAAGGCAGCAGUGGGGAAUAUUGCACAAUGGGCGGAAGCCUGAUGCAGCAACGCCGCGUGCGGGAUGACGGCCUUCGGGUUGUAAACCGCUUUCGCCUGUGGCGAAGCGUGAGUGACGGUAAUGGGUAAAGAAGCACCGGCUAACUACGUG
rnacentral:rRNA from 1 species